rnacentral:lncRNA from 1 species
UGCUUGGGCUAUGAUGGUGCCACAUAGAGCAAGCAACUAUAGAAAGGGACAGUAAGGAAAAACAAGAGAAAAAAGGGCUGGUUACUGAGUCACAGCACAACCCAGCUGCAUGCGUGACUGCCUCGAGAUGCUGAGGUGGCCACGUGCAGGGAAGAUCCAUGGCUGCUGAACUACUUAGGGCCAUGAUUGGAAAGGGUGCCAGCUGCCAUUCCCAACUCAGCCCACAGCCAGCACUACAGCACCCAGAUGUCCUCACUCAAGAGCUGAGUUGCCAGACUGGGCUUUUCCUGGAGUCAGAUCUGCAGUGGAUAAGAAAUUGUCACUACCACUGGUGACAUGUCAUCAGGAGAUACAGGAAUAACAGAUGGGCAGCAGUGAGAUAGCAGGAACUAACUUCUUUAAAAGACUGUGUUGACAUCACCAACUAUGAGACUAGAGGUAGAAUGACCCCCAGAAGGGAAUCCAAUCCGCUCAGCUCUUUCUGACUCACAGGUGUUUUGUCUUAUUUAUUUUUGUACAUAGAUCAUAUUGGAUUUAAGAUUGUUUGAAGUUUUAAAACAGCUAUGUUAGAAUUAAUGGAAACUAUUAAUAAGGAUUAGGAAAAGGAUGAAUGGAUUUAGCCACUAACUUAAGUGUUUUAAAUGAUACCACUAAAAUGAUAACUAGGAUUGCUGAUGUAACUGGUGUAGCUGAAUGCUAUUAAUAAGAGUCAAGAAUCCUUGAUUGCAAUGUGAGAACAAUGGAUUAUGAUGGUUUGAUGUCCAGCUGAUGGGUCUGACUUUCUAAAUGAAGAAUGAUUGAUUAUGACUCUUCAAAAGUAUGGUUCAUUAUCAGCAUAUCUAGGCAACUCUUGACAC